AUAGGUUAAUGAGGCGAACCGGGGGAACUGAAACAUCUAAGUACCCCGAGGAAAAGAAAUCAACCGAGAUUCCCCCAGUAGCGGCGAGCGAACGGGGAGGAGCCCAGAGCCUGAAUCAGUGUGUGUGUUAGUGGAAGCGUCUGGAAAGGCGCGCGAUACAGGGUGACAGCCCCGUACACAAAAAUGCACAUGCUGUGAGCUCGAUGAGUAGGGCGGGACACGUGGUAUCCUGUCUGAAUAUGGGGGGACCAUCCUCCAAGGCUAAAUACUCCUGACUGACCGAUAGUGAACCAGUACCGUGAGGGAAAGGCGAAAAGAACCCCGGCGAGGGGAGUGAAAAAGAACCUGAAACCGUGUACGUACAAGCAGUGGGAGCACAGAGCAAUCUGUGUGACUGCGUACCUUUUGUAUAAUGGGUCAGCGACUUAUAUUCUGUAGCAAGGUUAACCGAAUAGGGGAGCCGAAGGGAAACCGAGUCUUAACUGGGCGUUAAGUUGCAGGGUAUAGACCCGAAACCCGGUGAUCUAGCCAUGGGCAGGUUGAAGGUUGGGUAACACUAACUGGAGGACCGAACCGACUAAUGUUGAAAAAUUAGCGGAUGACUUGUGGCUGGGGGUGAAAGGCCAAUCAAACCGGGAGAUAGCUGGUUCUCCCCGAAAGCUAUUUAGGUAGCGCCUCGUGAAUUCAUCUCCGGGGGUAGAGCACUGUUUCGGCAAGGGGGUCAUCCCGACUUACCAACCCGAUGCAAACUGCGAAUACCGGAGAAUGUUAUCACGGGAGACACACGGCGGGUGCUAACGUCCGUCGUGAAGAGGGAAACAACCCAGACCGCCAGCUAAGGUCCCAAAGUCAUGGUUAAGUGGGAAACGAUGUGGGAAGGCCCAGACAGCCAGGAUGUUGGCUUAGAAGCAGCCAUCAUUUAAAGAAAGCGUAAUAGCUCACUGGUCGAGUCGGCCUGCGCGGAAGAUGUAACGGGGCUAAACCAUGCACCGAAGCUGCGGCAGCGACACUGUGUGUUGUUGGGUAGGGGAGCGUUCUGUAAGCCUGUGAAGGUGUGCUGUGAGGCAUGCUGGAGGUAUCAGAAGUGCGAAUGCUGACAUAAGUAACGAUAAAGCGGGUGAAAAGCCCGCUCGCCGGAAGACCAAGGGUUCCUGUCCAACGUUAAUCGGGGCAGGGUGAGUCGACCCCUAAGGCGAGGCCGAAAGGCGUAGUCGAUGGGAAACAGGUUAAUAUUCCUGUACUUGGUGUUACUGCGAAGGGGGGACGGAGAAGGCUAUGUUGGCCGGGCGACGGUUGUCCCGGUUUAAGCGUGUAGGCUGGUUUUCCAGGCAAAUCCGGAAAAUCAAGGCUGAGGCGUGAUGACGAGGCACUACGGUGCUGAAGCAACAAAUGCCCUGCUUCCAGGAAAAGCCUCUAAGCAUCAGGUAACAUCAAAUCGUACCCCAAACCGACACAGGUGGUCAGGUAGAGAAUACCAAGGCGCUUGAGAGAACUCGGGUGAAGGAACUAGGCAAAAUGGUGCCGUAACUUCGGGAGAAGGCACGCUGAUAUGUAGGUGAAGUCCCUCGCGGAUGGAGCUGAAAUCAGUCGAAGAUACCAGCUGGCUGCAACUGUUUAUUAAAAACACAGCACUGUGCAAACACGAAAGUGGACGUAUACGGUGUGACGCCUGCCCGGUGCCGGAAGGUUAAUUGAUGGGGUCAGCGCAAGCGAAGCUCUUGAUCGAAGCCCCGGUAAACGGCGGCCGUAACUAUAACGGUCCUAAGGUAGCGAAAUUCCUUGUCGGGUAAGUUCCGACCUGCACGAAUGGCGUAAUGAUGGCCAGGCUGUCUCCACCCGAGACUCAGUGAAAUUGAACUCGCUGUGAAGAUGCAGUGUACCCGCGGCAAGACGGAAAGACCCCGUGAACCUUUACUAUAGCUUGACACUGAACAUUGAGCCUUGAUGUGUAGGAUAGGUGGGAGGCUUUGAAGUGUGGACGCCAGUCUGCAUGGAGCCGACCUUGAAAUACCACCCUUUAAUGUUUGAUGUUCUAACGUGGACCCGUGAUCCGGGUUGCGGACAGUGUCUGGUGGGUAGUUUGACUGGGGCGGUCUCCUCCUAAAGAGUAACGGAGGAGCACGAAGGUUGGCUAAUCCUGGUCGGACAUCAGGAGGUUAGUGCAAUGGCAUAAGCCAGCUUGACUGCGAGCGUGACGGCGCGAGCAGGUGCGAAAGCAGGUCAUAGUGAUCCGGUGGUUCUGAAUGGAAGGGCCAUCGCUCAACGGAUAAAAGGUACUCCGGGGAUAACAGGCUGAUACCGCCCAAGAGUUCAUAUCGACGGCGGUGUUUGGCACCUCGAUGUCGGCUCAUCACAUCCUGGGGCUGAAGUAGGUCCCAAGGGUAUGGCUGUUCGCCAUUUAAAGUGGUACGCGAGCUGGGUUUAGAACGUCGUGAGACAGUUCGGUCCCUAUCUGCCGUGGGCGCUGGAGAACUGAGGGGGGCUGCUCCUAGUACGAGAGGACCGGAGUGGACGCAUCACUGGUGUUCGGGUUGUCAUGCCAAUGGCACUGCCCGGUAGCUAAAUGCGGAAGAGAUAAGUGCUGAAAGCAUCUAAGCACGAAACUUGCCCCGAGAUGAGUUCUCCCUGACCCUUUAAGGGUCCUGAAGGAACGUUGAAGACGACGACGUUGAUAGGCCGGGUGUGUAAGCGCAGCGAUGCGUUGAGCUAACCGGUACUAAUGAACCGUGAGGCUUAACCUUACAACGCCGAAGGUGUUU
rnacentral:rRNA from 1 species